rnacentral:rRNA from 1 species
GACGAACGCUGGCGGCGUGCCUAAUACAUGCAAGUAGAACGCUGAAGGAGGAGCUUGCUUCUCUGGAUGAGUUGCGAACGGGUGAGUAACGCGUAGGUAACCUGCCUGGUAGCGGGGGAUAACUAUUGGAAACGAUAGCUAAUACCGCAUAAUAGUAGAUGUCGCAUGACAUUUGCUUAAAAGGUGCAAUUGCAUCACUACCAGAUGGACCUGCGUUGUAUUAGCUAGUUGGUGAGGUAACGGCUCACCAAGGCAACGAUACAUAGCCGACCUGAGAGGGGGAUCGGCCACACUGGGACUGGGACACGGCCCAGACUCCUACGGGAGGCAGCAGUAGGGAAUCUUCGGCAAUGGACGGAAGUCUGACCGAGCAACGCCGCGUGAGUGAAGAAGGUUUUCGGAUCGUAAAGCUCUGUUGUAAGAGAAGAACGAGUGUGAGAGUGGAAAGUUCACACUGUGACGGUAUCUUACCAGAAAGGGACGGCUAACUACGUG